AAGGAUCAUUACCGAGUGAGGGCCCUUUGGGUCCAACCUCCCACCCGUGUUUAUUUUACCUUGUUGCUUCGGCGGGCCCGCCUUUACUGGCCGCCGGGGGGCUCACGCCCCCGGGCCCGCGCCCGCCGAAGACACCCCCGAACUCUGUCUGAAGAUUGAAGUCUGAGUGAAAAUAUAAAUUAUUUAAAACUUUCAACAACGGAUCUCUUGGUUCCGGCAUCGAUGAAGAACGCAGCGAAAUGCGAUACGUAAUGUGAAUUGCAAAUUCAGUGAAUCAUCGAGUCUUUGAACGCACAUUGCGCCCCCUGGUAUUCCGGGGGGCAUGCCUGUCCGAGCGUCAUUGCUGCCCUCAAGCCCGGCUUGUGUGUUGGGCCCCGUCCUCCGAUUCCGGGGGACGGGCCCGAAAGGCAGCGGCGGCACCGCGUCCGGUCCUCGAGCGUAUGGGGCUUUGUCACCCGCUCUGUAGGCCCGGCCGGCGCUUGCCGAUCAACCCAAAUUUUUAUCCAGGUUGACCUCGGAUCAGGUAGGGAUACCCGCUGAACUUAA
rnacentral:rRNA from 2 species